GAUCGAUGGCUCAGGAUGAACGCUAGCUACAGGCUUAACACAUGCAAGUCGAGGGGCAGCAUGGGAUUAGCCUGCUAAUCCUGAUGGCGACCGGCGCACGGGUGAGUAACGCGUAUCCAACCUUCCCCUUACUCAGGGAUAGCCCGCUGAAAGGCGGAUUAACACCUGAUGGUUUCAUUAGAUGGCAUCUGACGAUGAAUAAAGGCUUACGGUAAGGGAUGGGGAUGCGUCUGAUUAGCUUGUUGGCGGGGUAACGGCCCGCCAAGGCAACGAUCAGUAGGGGUUCUGAGAGGAAGGUCCCCCACAUUGGAACUGAGACACGGUCCAAACUCCUACGGGAGGCAGCAGUGAGGAAUAUUGGUCAAUGGGCGAGAGCCUGAACCAGCCAAAAGUAGCGUGCAGGAUGACGGCCCUAUGGGUUGUAAACUGCUUUUGUACGGGAAUAAAGUGACCUACGUGUAGGUUUUUGCAUGUACCGUAAGAAUAAGGACCGGCUAAUUCCGUGCCAGCCGCCGC
rnacentral:rRNA from 1 species